rnacentral:rRNA from 1 species
CACGUAGGGCGCAAGCGUUGUCCGGAAUUAUUGGGCGUAAAGAGCUCGUAGGCGGUCUGUUGCGUCCGCUGUGAAAACUCGGGGCUUAACCCCGAGCCUGCAGUGGAUACGGGCAGACUAGAGGUAGGUAGGGGAGAAUGGAAUUCCCGGUGUAGCGGUGAAAUGCGUAGAUAUCGGAAGGAACGCCGGUGGCGAAAGCGAUCUGCUGGAUCUCUUCUGACGCUGAUGCGCGAAAGCCAGGGGAGCAAACGGG